AGAAGCGCUGAAAAAGGCCAAGGAAAAUCCCCGCCUACCUGCACGAGUUUCCCUUUGUGUAUGGAAUGGACCCAAACUUACGCAGAUCAGCUUUAUCGAACCUUAUUCUCGAGGACUGCCGCGAACUGCCCUCUUUGAAGAAACCACCCACGUAAUAACGACCCUGGAGAGCAGCGCAAAACCCCGCCGGCUGCCGCGCCAACUUCGCCAAAUUGCUGGGCUCGCCCGAAGACAGGCGAACUGGCAAGAGA